UAUUUUGACUAUACAAAGGUAUUGAAAUAAGACUUUAAUUGAGUGCUAAGAGAAUGGAUUUUCAAAAAAAUGCUUUCUUAAUUUUAAGAAUUGAAGUUAUUUUUUUAUGUGAAGAAACAACAAUAAAAAUUAAAGACAAGAAGCCCCUAAGAAUUUUUAUAAAUUUAUUAUAUAAAUAUAUAAUAUAUUUAUUUAAUUGGGGCGAUUUGAAAAUAUUUUACACUUUUUAAAAACUAAAAAGAUCCAUUAAUAAUGAUUUUAUGAAAAAAAUACUCUAGGGAUAACAGCGUAAUAAUUUUAGAU
rnacentral:rRNA from 1 species